UACGUAGGUGGCGAGCGUUGUCCGGAAUUACUGGGUGUAAAGGGCGUGUAGGCGGGAAUGCAAGUCAGAUGUGAAAUACCGAGGCUUAACUUCGGGGCUGCAUCUGAAACUGCGUUUCUUGAGUGUCGGAGAGGAAAGUGGAAUUCCCAGUGUAGCGGUGAAAUGCGUAGAUAUUGGGAGGAACACCAGUGGCGAAGGCGGCUCACUGGACCGGUACUGACGCUGAUGCGCGAAAGCGUGGGGAGCAAACGGG
rnacentral:rRNA from 1 species